GAAUUGUGCCACUGAAUUAAAAGGGAACUCUUUUUUUUAGGUGCACAUGAUGCAAAGUCCUGGAUGGUAUGUAGGCUGUUUUCAAACAUCUGAAACCCACAUGUAUUUCAGGGAAAUGCUUGUCAGGACCCAAGACUGAAAAAAAGACUGAAAAUCUGCCUUUAAACACAGACAUUAUUCAUAUCAAUGGAUAAACUAGAAACAUCCAAACAAUAUUACAUCAGAAUCAUAAGAGACUGUCAAUUGUUAUCCCUCACUGUGGCAGAAACACCUAAAUAAACAUUGAAAUGAUAAA